rnacentral:piRNA from 1 species
UUGAUGACCUCUUUCAAAUACCAAAUAGAGU